GGGAAUAUUCUGGAACUGGGGCGCAGAACGGGGAUGACAUAAUUCUGGGGUGGGGACAAGGAAUGGCGUAACUGGGCUGAGGUGACUUGGAUGAUGUAACUGAGGUACAUAAAACAACAAAGGACUGUGGGAGAACAUUCCUUAAAUGGGGGUCUCAUCCCAGGGCACCCCACAAACAGAAUCUCCCACCAGCUCCUGGGAUGAAAUAGUUCUCUCCAUUACAAAACAGGCAGGACAGGAAGACAACAGAAUUGCACCCACAUUCAAAAAUCAUCCUACUAAUUAACACAAAGACCUGCACUGGAGCCAUUGUGAAGACUUAAGGCCCAAAGCAGUUACGCAGUCGAGCAUGUGUUUAAGAAUGAAGGAUGUGGUAUCCUUGGGAGUUCUGCAUAUCAUCUGAUAGAGGCUUUCAAAUCCCUGGCAAUGCAUAAGGGAUGACAUCAAACUAUGUUAAUAUACUGUUUGUAUAACCAAAUAUACUUGUGAUUGUGAUUAUUAGCACAAUGAAAAUGUUGUAG
rnacentral:lncRNA from 1 species